GCUUGAUUAGCUUCAAGAGGAAAGUCCGGGCUGCAGUGAAGUAUGGUUCCAUUUAAAGAAUGGCUGGGGUAACCCAAGGGACAGUGCAACAGAAAGUAAACCGCCAAGAUUUAUCUUGGUAAGGGUGAAACGGUGGGGUAAGAGCCCACCAAUGUUUUAAGCAAUUUUAACAGUUAUGUAAACCCAACCAGCAGCAAGAAGAGAUGGUAUUUAACUUCACGUUAUAUGCUCUUCGCAAGAUUGUUUAAGUAAUUUAACAACUAGACAAAUUAUUAUCCACGACAAAACGCGGCUUACGCCCUACCU
rnacentral:RNase_P_RNA from 1 species